rnacentral:rRNA from 1 species
AGAGUUUGAUCCUGGCUCAGGACGAACGCUGGCGGCACGCUUAACACAUGCAAGUCGAACGAGAGAAGAGGAGCUUGCUUUUCUGAUCUAGUGGCGGACGGGUGAGUAACACGUGAGCAAUCUGCCUUUCAGAGGGGGAUACCGAUUGGAAACGAUCGUUAAUACCGCAUAACAUAAUUGAACCGCAUGAUUUGAUUAUCAAAGAUUUAUCGCUGAAAGAUGAGCUCGCGUCUGAUUAGCUAGUUGGUAAGGUAACGGCUUACCAAGGCGACGAUCAGUAGCCGGACUGAGAGGUUGAUCGGCCACAUUGGGACUGAGACACGGCCCAGACUCCUACGGGAGGCAGCAGUGGGGAAUAUUGCACAAUGGAGGAAACUCUGAUGCAGCGAUGCCGCGUGAGGGAAGAAGGUUUUAGGAUUGUAAACCUCUGUCUUCAGGGACGAAAAAAGACGGUACCUGAGGAGGAAGCUCCGGCUAACUACGUGCCAGCAGCCGCGGUAAUACGUAGGGAGCGAGCGUUGUCCGGAAUUACUGGGUGUAAAGGGAGCGUAGGCGGGAUCGCAAGUCAGAUGUGAAAACUAUGGGCUUAACCCAUAAACUGCAUUUGAAACUGUGGUUCUUGAGUGAAGUAGAGGUAAGCGGAAUUCCUAGUGUAGCGGUGAAAUGCGUAGAUAUUAGGAGGAACAUCAGUGGCGAAGGCGGCUUACUGGGCUUUAACUGACGCUGAGGCUCGAAAGCGUGGGGAGCAAACAGGAUUAGAUACCCUGGUAGUCCACGCCGUAAACGAUGAUUACUAGGUGUGGGGGGACUGACCCCUUCCGUGCCGCAGCAAACGCAAUAAGUAAUCCACCUGGGGAGUACGACCGCAAGGUUGAAACUCAAAGGAAUUGACGGGGGCCCGCACAAGCAGUGGAGUAUGUGGAUUAAUUCGAAGCAACGCGAAGAACCUUACCAGGUCUUGACAUCGUAUGCAUAGCUCAGAGAUGAGUGAAAUCUCUUCGGAGACAUAUAGACAGGUGGUGCAUGGUUGUCGUCAGCUCGUGUCGUGAGAUGUUGGGUUAAGUCCCGCAACGAGCGCAACCCUUACUGUUAGUUGCUACGCAAGAGCACUCUAGCAGGACUGCCGUUGACAAAACGGAGGAAGGUGGGGAUGACGUCAAAUCAUCAUGCCCCUUAUGACCUGGGCCUCACACGUACUACAAUGGCUGUCAACAGAGGGAAGCAAAGCCGCGAGGUGGAGCGAACCCCUAAAAGCAGUCUUAGUUCGGAUUGUAGGCUGCAACCCGCCUACAUGAAGUCGGAAUUGCUAGUAAUCGCGGAUCAGCAUGCUGCGGUGAAUACGUUCCCGGGCCUUGUACACACCGCCCGUCACGCCAUGGGAGUCGGUAACACCCGAAGCCUGUAGUCUAACCGCAAGGAGGACGCAGUCGAAGGUGGGAUUGAUGACUGGGGUGAAGUCGUAACAAGGUA